CAGCGGCCGCGGUAAUACGUAGGUGGCAAGCGUUGUCCGGAUUUAUUGGGCGUAAAGCGAGCGCAGGCGGAAAGAUAAGUCUGAUGUGAAAGCCUUCGGCUUAACCGGAGUAGUGCAUUGGAAACUGGGAGACUUGAGUGCAGAAGAGGAGAGUGGAACUCCAUGUGUAGCGGUGAAAUGCGUAGAUAUAUGGAAGAACACCAGUGGCGAAAGCGGCUCUCUGGUCUGUAACUGACGCUGAGGUUCGAAAGCGUGGGUAGCAAACAGG
rnacentral:rRNA from 1 species